GAUGAACGCUGGCGGCGUGCCUAAUACAUGCAAGUCGAGCGAACAGACGAGGAGCUUGCUCCUCUGACGUUAGCGGCGGACGGGUGAGUAACACGUGGAUAACCUACCUAUAAGACUGGGAUAACUUCGGGAAACCGGAGCUAAUACCGGAUAAUAUAUUGAACCGCAUGGUUCAAUAGUGAAGGACGGUUUUGCUGUCACUUAUAGAUGGAUCCGCGCCGCAUUAGCUAGUUGGUAAGGUAACGGCUUACCAAGGCGACGAUGCGUAGCCGACCUGAGAGGGUGAUCGGCCACACUGGAACUGAGACACGGUCCAGACUCCUACGGGAGGCAGCAGUAGGGAAUCUUCCGCAAUGGGCGAAAGCCUGACGGAGCAACGCCGCGUGAGUGAUGAAGGUCUACGGAUCGUAAAACUCUGUUAAUAGGGAAGAACAAAUGUGUAAGUAACUAUGCACGUCUUGACGGUACCUAAUCAGAAAGCCACGGCUAACUACGUG
rnacentral:rRNA from 1 species